rnacentral:rRNA from 1 species
UACGAAGGGGGCUAGCGUUGCUCGGAAUUACUGGGCGUAAAGGGAGCGUAGGCGGAUAGUUUAGUCAGAGGUGAAAUCCCGGGGCUCAACCUCGAAACUGCCUUUGAUACUGGCUAUCUUGAGUAUGGGAGAGGUGUGUGGAACUCCGAGUGUAGAGGUGAAAUUCGUAGAUAUUCGGAAGAACACCAGUGGCGAAGGCGACACACUGGCCCAUUACUGACGCUGAGGCUCGAAAGCGUGGGGAGCAAACAGG